UGGCGGACGGGUGAGUAAUGUCUGGGAAACUGCCUGAUGGAGGGGGAUAACUACUGGAAACGGUAGCUAAUACCGCAUAACGUCGCAAGACCAAAGAGGGGGACCUUCGGGCCUCUUGCCAUCGGAUGUGCCCAGAUGGGAUUAGCUAGUAGGUGGGGUAACGGCUCACCUAGGCGACGAUCCCUAGCUGGUCUGAGAGGAUGACAGCCACACUGGAACUGAGACACGGUCCAGACUCCUACGGGAGGCAGCAUG
rnacentral:rRNA from 1 species